ACUAGGGAUCGGCCGAACUCAAAAUUAAAGUCCCGNUCGGCACCUUACGAGAANUCAAAGUCUUUGGGUUCUGGGGGGAAUAUGGUCCCAAGCCUGAAACUUAAAGGAAUUGNCGGAAGGGCACCACCAGGUUUGGACCCUCCGGCUUAAUUUGACUCAACACGGGGAAACUCACCAGGUCCAGACAUAGCUAGGAUUGACAGAUUGAUAGCUCUUUCUUGAUUCUAUGG
rnacentral:rRNA from 1 species